GGAGGAAUCUGGAUAAGCUGGAUCAAUGGGCUGAGGCCAACAGUAUGAGUUUCAAAAAGAUCAAACGGCAGGUCCUUUGGUCACAACAAGCCCAAGCAAUGCCACAGGCUUGGGGCAGAGUGACUGGCAAGCUGCAUGGAGAAAAAGGAUCUGGGGAUGUUAGUUGACAGCUGCCUGAACUUGAGCCAGCAGUGAGCCCAGGUGGCCAAGAAGUCCAAUGGCAUCCUGGCUUGUAUCAGAAACAGCAUAGCUAAGAGAACUAGGCAUUGUUUUAUGUGGAGUGUUGAAGACAGAAGAUUGUUCUAGAUGACGUGCUACUCAUCAUGAGGACCCUACAAUGAGAAAAUUGUUAUAAAAACCCUACAAGAUUUUUCUGUGCAGAGGAGAGGCAUAUCUGUUACUAACAUUUCACGGAACAGAGAAAUCUCUUCCUGAAUGUGAUUGAGGAGCUUCAUCCUGGAAUUUUUUCAGAACUACAUGAAUAAUUUACAACAGCAAAAACACCACCACCACCAACAACAACAACAACAACAAAAUCCACAAGGAUCAUUCAAAAACUUUUAUUCCGUUAAAAAAGUAGUAAAGGGACAAGGUCCCUGGAGGAACGCAACACGGAGCACUGAAGAGACAGAAGACAGUACACCAGUAUGGCAUUAAAGGUAUUCCAACCUUAAAUAGUCUCAGCUGGAGCCUGGUAACUGACACCACAUUUGAGGAAAAACUGUGUGCCGUGUACGCUGACUGAACUCAUACAUUCAUCAACAGUCAUGAACAAGGGGAAACUUGUGCUAGUCUCCUGUUUCAUGCUGAUACAACAUACAGGAUCUUUAUGGUAUUUCUUCCUGUUUUCAAACCAAACAGGUCAGAUUCCUCCAAGCAUUUUAUCCAUUCCUUCAGUCCCUCUGACAUAAAACCAGGUCAGUAAAAAAAAAAAAAAAAAAAUCUCAAAUGCUGGCAAUAAUGUAAUCAGACACAAUAUUCCACAGCCAAACAAGUACCACUAAAAAACAAGGCAGAAUGGAAUAUCUUUAUUAUAAUUUCAUAAUACUCUAUAAUCCAAAGACACUCUGGAGCUCCUUAUUAGACGACAAUCCAGCACAAACCCCAGAUCUCUUUAUAUUCAAUACGGAAAGUCUUCCAAUCAGUAAAUGUAGCUUAAAAAAUUAUUUUCUAUGUGCAAAGCUGUAUAUUUCAUCUUAUUAAAACAAUGAUUUUUUUUCCCCAGAUAGUCUGUAGAAAUACUACGUCCAUUCUAUUUUCUGCCAUUCAUCCAUCUCAUUUCUUUUGUGUGUUCUGCAAACUCAAGUAGUAAUUCUAAAUAUGUAUAUUUCAUUUAUUAAUAAAUAGGUUACUUGGAAGAUGGUCAGUCCCACAGGCAACAUUCAUGAUUUUGGACACUGCAAAGAAAAAAACAAUUCUCAAGUUGAGCCAAUAACUUUGAUCAGACUGAAAAGGACAGAGAAGGCUUGGAAGUGGAUUGAAAACUCCAACCUGUGAAUGUAUUUUGGCACGGCACUGGCAUGAUUUUUUAUUCUGUAUAGCUCAAGGUUGAGUUUUGUGCUUAGGCUUGCCAAUUGCUUUCAUAUGAACAUAGGUAGUAAAUGUGAACUGUUAACUGUUACAUUCUCCUCAAGCUAUCUUCAGGUCUUUCUCACAGUGGUGUUCUUCACUAGUUAUAUGAACCUAAGCAAUGUUAGUUUUAAAUUAGCAAACUAAUUUAUAAUUCAACUGUAAAACAUGCAAUUUAAUAAAUAUAGGCCAGUCAGUCAGUUCUUUGCAACAUUUUCGCCAUAGAGAUAGGAUUUAUUUUCUGUGCACCUAUAGUGUACAACCUGUUCUUGUUAUCAAUAGUUUAAAAUAGUAGCAGACUAUAAUUACAGCAAGUCUUCAGAAAGGAACAAGCCCUACUCUUGCUACCCUUGAGCACCAACAUACACCAAAUUAAACAUUACUAACUCAUUAAAAUUCUUUUUAUUUUUCUGGAUAAAAGUAACUCUGAAAGACCUCUUGACAAAACAGGGCAAUUGUAAUUGAUAAAUUAGUACAGGAAAUUACUAACACUAGUGUGGUAAUAGGAAAUGACUCACGGCUUGAUGAUCACACCAUUUCAGAACUCACUAAGUAAAUUAAAGGGCUUUGAUGUUUUCAUUACAAACACUGGAAUACUGUUUUCCACACCAUGAGGAUUUCUCAGAUUUUAAAAAAGCCUUUGGCUGGACAGCAGCUAUCAAGAUUCAUGGAAGACAGAAAACAAGCACCUAAGAGAUGGUGACAAAGAAAUAAUAUGAAAAACAAGUGAUAACCAAAACAUAGCAUCGUGCCAGACACUGUGAAGAAAACAAUUCUGUACCAGCUGAAACUAAAACAAGCCUCCAGUUUCAGAUGAAUUAGUCACACCAUUCUGGGUAUGCUUCACUCAAGCUACCAAGACCACCUGAAGCAGAAGAUAACACUGAAGGCGUGAAAAUAGCAGAUUUCUGUUCAACCCUAACUUCAGGGGAUAAGAAGCAAAGCCUACCUAUCUUCUCAUUCACCAUCAUCCCAGAAAAAUACCAAGUACAGGAUAUUUCUUAGUUGUUUCUGCAGUAAGCUCCGUGCUACAGAAAGAGAUGUUCAUACAAUCACAGACUCAAAAUGGCUUGGGUUGGAAGGGACUUCAAGAAUCAUCAAGAUCCAAAAUCCUGCUGCUGGCAGGGUUGUAAACUGCUGGAUCAAGUCCUAGAUCAGAUUGCCGAGGGCCCCAUCCAACCUGACCUUUCUGUGCAACCUGCUCCGGCACCUCACCACUUCUCUGCAAAAAACUUCCCCCUGGCAUCUAAUCUAAAUCUCUCCUCCUUUACUUUAAAACCAUUCCCUCUUGUCCUGUAACUAUCUAUCCAUGUAAAAAAGUUGAUUUCCCCCCUGUUUAUCAUCUCCCUUUAAAUACUGGAAGGCCACAAUGAGGUCUCCUUGCAGCUUUCUCUUCUCCAGCGCACACUAUUAGCUCAUGUUAAAUUUUUCAUCUACUCACAUCCCAAUGUCCUUCUCAGGAGGGCUGCUCUCAAGGAGUUCUUCUCCCAGUCUGUAUACAUAUCUGACCCAAUUGCAAAAUCUUGCACUUCAUUUUGUUGAACUUCACUAGUUUUACAAGGGCCCACCUUUCAAGUUCAUCAAGGUCUCCCUGGAUGGCAUCCCCUCCUUCUGCCGUACCAACCACACCACUCAGCUUGGUGUCAUCAGCAAACUUGCUGAGGGUGCUCUCAAUCUCAUAAUCUCUGUCAUAAAUAAAGAUGUUAGAGUUUUAAAACAGUCACCUGGGGGGCACCACUCAUUAUUGGCCUUCACCUGAUCAUAGUGCCAUUCACCACAACCCUCUGCCUGUUACCUUCCAGCCAAUUCCUUAUCCAACAGUCCACGAUUCAAAUCCACAUCUCUCCAAUUUAGAGGUAAGGAUGUAAAGAAGGAUCAUGUCAAAGGCCUUGCAGAAGUCCAGGUAGAUGACAUCAGCUGUCUUCCUUCCCUUUGUCCACCAAUGCUGUCACUCAAUCAUAGAAGGCCACAAGGUUGUUCAGGCACAGUCUUCCCUCGGUGAAGCCAUGCUGCCUGUCUUGGAUCAUCUGCUCAUCCCUCAUGUGUCUUAACAUGCCUUCCAGGAAGAUUUGUUCCAUGACCUUCUCAAACACAGAGACAAGGAUCACUGACCUGUAGUUCCCCAGGUCCUCCUUCCUCCCUUUCUUACAAAUGGGAGUGAAGGGUUUGUUUUUUUUUUUCAGUCACUGGGGACUUCACCUGACAGCAAAUAUUAUGGAGAGCAGCUUGGCAACUACAUUCGCUAGCUCCCUUAGGACCUUGAGAUGUAUGUUGUCCAUCCCUAUAUUCUUGUACACAUUAAGUCUCAUGAGGCAAUCUCAGACUUGCUCUGCCCUUACAGUGGGGGGCAUUUUGCUUCCCCAGUUCACACCAAGAGGUUUAGGGAUGUGAGUUUCAAGGAUGUGAGAAAUACAAGAAUCCUGUCUGCCAUUGAAGACUGAUGCAAAGAACUCACUGAGUACUUCAGUCUUCACCAUAUCUGUUGUAGCCAGUUCUCCUUUCUCAUUUAUCAGAGGAGGUACACUCUGGCCAGUCUCCUUUGACCUAUCUAACUAUAGAACUCCUUAUUGUUGUUGUUGUUGUUCUUUUAAUAUCCUUUGAUGCAGUCAGUUCCAUCUGUGCCUUGGCUUCCUAAUCUCAUCUCCGCAUGUCUGGACAACAUCCUUGUAUUCUCCCCAGGUCACACAUCCUUGUUUCCACGGUCUGCAUAUGUCCUUCUUUUCUCUGAGUUUGACCAGCAGGUUCUUGCCACACCAUGCUGGUUUCCUGCUUCAUUUGCUAGUUUUCUUGUACUGGAGGACAGAGAGCUCUUGCGCUCUCAGAAAGGCAUCCUUAUAAAGUAGUCAGCUUUGCUCCACUCCUUUGUCUCUAAUAACAGCUUUCCAGGAGAUGUCAUCCAACAAUUCCUUGGACAGUUUGCUCUCCUGAAGUUCAGGAUUCUGACUUGACUUUUUGCCAGGCCCACAAUUCUAGAGAUCACGAAUUCAAUCAGGGUGUGCUCACUGUACCCCAGGCUGCCUGUGAUCUUAAUGUCUUUAACAAUCUCCUCAGCAUUGGUGAGAACCAGGCCCAGCAACGUUUCACUUCUGGUUGGUCUAUCCAAUACCUGAACCAGAAAGUUAUCUUCAACGCACUCCAGAAGUCUCCUGGACAGCUUGCAGAUCAACAUGUUGCUUUCCCAGCAUAUAUCAGGGUGGUUGAAGUCCCCCACCAGGACGAGAGCCUGUGAGCAUGGCUCCUACAGCUGAAGCAAGAAGGCCUCCUCAACAGGAUCCCCUUGAUGAGGUGGUCUGAAGUAGACCCCAACCACCAGCUGUCCUUUAUUGGUCCCAUCCCUACCCUUACCCACAGUCUCUCAACUUGUUCCUGACUGUUACUCAGAGGGGGCUUCUCGCAGACUUCCCACUUUUUAACAUAGAGGAACAUAAUCCACCCCUCCUAGCUUGCCUAUCCCUUCUAAAAAGCUUAUAGCCCUCAGUGGCAGUAUUCCAGUUAUGUGAAUCAUCCCGCCAUGUUUCCGUGAUGGGAGAAAGAUCAUAGUUUUCCAUGUGCACAAGAGUUUCCUUCUCUUCCUGCUUACUUCCCAUGCUGCAUGCAUUGGUAUAGAGGCAUUUCAUCUGGGCUUUCAGAUGCACUGCCUGCUGAGAAGAGCCCUCCCACAAACCUCUGGGACAAAUGUGAGGUUCUCCCCUGCUGCUUCCAAACAUGACAGUGUUCCCUGGCUUUUCUCUGUCACUCAGCAGUACAACCCCUUCCCCCAGCAGCUUUAGUUUAAAGCGCUGGUGAUUGGCCCAGCCAGCUUUUUACCUAGUAUAUUCUUGCCUCUCCUGGUGAGUUGUGUCCCAUCCCAUGUCAACAUUCCUGGUUUGUCAAAGGAACAUCUUAGAUCAUCAAACCCAUAGCCCUCAGCAUGAUACCACACACAAAGCCAGUCAUUCAACUGAUCCAUUCUCCUAUUUCUGCCCGGAUCCCAGUUUUCAACUGGGAGGACUGAGGAGAACACUACCUGCACUCCCAAUUUCUUCAACACCUUCCCAAGAGAUGGUAAGUUUUUCCAUUUCUUGGUAAACAGAAGUGAUGUCAGUAAAGUAACUCACACAACAUGACUAUGGAAUCAUGUAUAAGCCUGUACAAGAAUACAGGGGAAAAACACACUCAACAAAUACACAGUAUCUGCCUUUUUUGUGCGUGUGUGUGUUCAUAAUAUUUUUGAAAUGGGAUCUCUUCCUUAGCAUGCAUGGAAAUACUGGAAACUUCAUUUCUAUUCUGUUCAUUUGGGAGACAUUCUAGAUUCUGCUGCAAAAGGAGGGAUUAAUAGAGAAAAAUUCUAUUAAACAAUCAAUCAACAGAUAAAACAGCAUGAUCAGGAAAUCCUAUGGAGCAGAUUUCUGGAAGCUGGCAGGGUACAGUCAUCGCCUCAUUCUUAUCCUAUUCUCCUGGUUACUGUCAAACACAAGACUUAAGGCUAGAUUUUUACAGUAAGUCUGAUUCAAAAUGUCUGUUCUAAGAUAGUAACGAACUAAGUAACCCCCUUUUCACAGAGGCAUUUGUGGUUUUCAUCAAAGAUCUCUUAUGCAGACACUGAGCAGCACCCAUCAAAUGAUCCUGUCAUGUUCUAAGUGGCAAUAAAACUGAAACAUGUCUUCAAAAACUCUUUUGGUCCCAGACAUUCACAUGAAUUUAGUCAUUUAUAUUAGUGUCAAAAAAACCUGUUGACUCACUAACCCUGAGAGUAUCAGCCUUAAUACCUUUGUACCCUAAGCAUCAAAAUCAAGACAUGAUGAACUACAGUAAUGUUUAAUGCCUUGCCAAACUGCAGUUGAUGGAAUUCAGAUCUCUUAACUUCAAUACCAUGAAACUGCUGAAAUCAAACGCUAAGUAAAAAAAAUCUAAGCUUCAGAAACUGUUUUAAGUUUUUCAGACUCGAAUUGUGAAAAGCCUGGAUCUAUGCCAGAUAACCAUGCAAAGCGUGCAAGGAGAAAGAACAUUUUAAAUUAAAUAGCAAGAUUUGUGAGUCAAAAUCGCAGCUACUGAGUUUUUGGCUCAUAAUUUUUAGGUGUCACUAGGUUGUAACAGUGUCUCUAGAAAAUUAUGUAACUGCAGAUCGGUGCCACAGAUCUGAGCAAUCUGUCUUCUCUGUGCAGGUACAUGUCAGAGUGUCCUAGGCAAUUCUGCAAAUGUCGAAGUAGUCAAACAGACAACAUUUAAUUGGAAGAUCAAAAACUAAAGAAUGCCAAAUUGCUGAGUAGGUGGCUGACUGUCCAUUGGGUUUUCACUAAAUUAUUUGCUGAUUUAUGACCAGACUGAUGGUUACAGAUCCUCUCUGCAGCAUGAAGCGCCCAUGUUUCUCACUGUGUUUGACAAACAGCAUCACAUUCAACAUUUUACAUAAACUAAACUAACACUGAGGCUAGUGCUUUAGGCUUAUCUUCACAGCUUCUCACCUUCUUGUACACUGGGUAGAAUUAGGGCAGACAUUAAUGCAAAGAGAAAAGGAUAGCAUGUUUUGCAAACAGGGUUUGCAUCUUGUCUGGUAACCUUUCUCUCCUCUCUUCUAUACCUUUUAGCACCAGCUUCACCCCUCUUUAUUUGUUUACACAGUAAAAAACUAGCCAGUUUCAUUCAGGAUGUUUAAUAUCUUUUUCCACUGACAAAGUAAAUAUAAACUUCCUAUAUGAGUUAAUUAUACAUAUGAUUUGAUUUACAUUCAGUCCAUGUAAUAUAUAGUUAAAGGUAUACUAAUAUGCACUGGAUUAUUAAUUUUAUCUAACAUGCUGUUCAACACGAAUUAUUGACAAGUGAGAUCUUUUAACUCCAAUGAGAACCAGAGUCCUUGGCUAACCAUGGAUUCAGAGGUUCAUU